rnacentral:rRNA from 1 species
GGCGGCGGCUUACACAUGCAGUCGAACGGUAGCAGGAAGAAAGCUUGCUUUCUUUGCUGACGAGUGGCGGACGGGUGAGUAAUGCUUGGGAAUCUGGCUUAUGGAGGGGGAUAACUGUGGGAAACUGCAGCUAAUACCGCGUAUUCUCUGAGGAGGAAAGGGUGGGACCUUAGGGCCACCUGCCAUAAGAUGAGCCCAAGUGGGAUUAGGUAGUUGGUGGGGUAAAGGCCUACCAAGCCUGCGAUCUCUAGCUGGUCUGAGAGGAUGACCAGCCACACUGGAACUGAGACACGGUCCAGACUCCUACGGGAGGCAGCAGUGGGGAAUAUUGCGCAAUGGGGGGAACCCUGACGCAGCCAUGCCGCGUGAAUGAAGAAGGCCUUCGGGUUGUAAAGUUCUUUCGGUAAUGAGGAAGGGAUGUUGUUAAAUAGAUAGCAUCAUUGACGUUAAUUACAGAAGAAGCACCGGCUAACUCCGUGCCAGCAGCCGCGGUAAUACGGAGGGUGCGAGCGUUAAUCGGAAUAACUGGGCGUAAAGGGCACGCAGGCGGACUUUUAAGUGAGAUGUGAAAUCCCCGAGCUUAACUUGGGAACUGCAUUUCAGACUGGGAGUCUAGAGUACUUUAGGGAGGGGUAGAAUUCCACGUGUAGCGGUGAAAUGCGUAGAGAUGUGGAGGAAUACCGAAGGCGAAGGCAGCCCCUUGGGAAUGUACUGACGCUCAUGUGCGAAAGCGUGGGGAGCAAACAGGAUUAGAUACCCUGGUAGUCCACGCUGUAAACGCUGUCGAUUUGGGGAUUGGGCUAUAUGCUUGGUGCCCGAAGCUAACGUGAUAAAUCGACCGCCUGGGGAGUACGGCCGCAAGGUUAAAACUCAAAUGAAUUGACGGGGGCCCGCACAAGCGGUGGAGCAUGUGGUUUAAUUCGAUGCAACGCGAAGAACCUUACCUACUCUUGACAUCCUA